GAUGAAGAACGCAGCGAAAUGCGAUAAGUAGUGUGAAUUGCAGAAUUCAGUGAAUCAUCGAAUCUUUGAACGCACAUUGCGCCCUUUGGUAUUCCAAAGGGCAUGCCUGUUCGAGCGUCAUUUGUACCCUCAAGCUUUGCUUGGUGUUGGGCGUCUUGUCUCUAGCUUUGCUGGAGACUCGCCUUAAAGUAAUUGGCAACCGGCCUACUGGUUUCGGAGCGCAGCACAAGUCGCACUCUCAAUCAGCAAAGGUCUAGCAUCCAUUAAGCCUUUUUUUCAACUUUUGACCUCGGAUCAGGUAGGGAUACCCGCUGAACUUAAGCAUAUCAAUAAGCGGAGGA
rnacentral:misc_RNA from 1 species